rnacentral:rRNA from 1 species
CCUACGGGGCGCAGCAGUGGGGAAUAUUGGGCAAUGGGCGCAAGCCUGACCCAGCAACGCCGCGUGAAGGAAGAAGGCUUUCGGGUUGUAAACUUCUUUUCUCAGGGACGAAGCAAGUGACGGUACCUGAGGAAUAAGCCACGGCUAACUACGUGCCAGCAGCCGCGGUAAUACGUAGGUGGCAAGCGUUAUCCGGAUUUACUGGGUGUAAAGGGCGUGUAGGCGGGACUGCAAGUCAGAUGUGAAAACCACGGGCUCAACCUGUGGCCUGCUGUUGAAAAUGUAGGUUUU